UACAGAGGGUGCGAGCGUUGUUCGGAAUUAUUGGGCGUAAAGGGCGCGUAGGCGGUGCGGUAAGUCACCUGUGAAAUCUCCUGGCUCAACUGGGAGCUUGCAGGCGAAACUGCCGUGCUGGAGUGUGGGAGAGGUGCGUGGAAUUCCUGGUGUAGCGGUGAAAUGCGUAGAUAUCAGGAGGAACACCUGUGGCGAAAGCGGCGCACUGGACCACAACUGACGCUGAGGCGCGAAAGCUAGGGGAGCGAACCGG
rnacentral:rRNA from 1 species